CUGCAGUCUCGUGGAAGAAACCCUCAUCGUUGGCGGCGACGGCUUCUUCACUCGGGGCGAUUGGAUCUGACUGCAAUCUCGCCGCCCUUGUUCCACCUCCUACCCACCCCGAGCGGCCUUCUACUCCACGCCCUCACCGCCGACUGCUCUGGCUCCGUGUUGCCUGUGCUUCACCGGCUUCUGAUCCCCCAGUGAUGCGUGACCAAAUCCUGGCGAUCCAUGCCUCCACGGCUCCACCCAAUCAACGUCUGAAAUCAAAACCUGCUCCACGGCCUGCCACACAAACACAAGAUCUGUAAGGGCCGGAAAGACGAGUUCGUCCUAUCGGCGAUGGAGAUCCACCACCUGUUGAUUCUGCAUCCGCCGUCACCGACGAGAUGUUUCUCACGAAGUAAACGAUUUCGAGUUUGGAAUUUUCAUAUUUUUCUUCUCUACAUCGAUUCAAAUUUGUUGCGGUGUUUGGUGGCGAAGGUGGGAUGAUGGUUUUCCUCGGUUUUUCUCGAUGUGUGUAGGACGGAGUACCACUGGCUGGUUGAACACCUUCUCCCCAAGUCGAUGUUGUUCCAGGUUGAGUACGCCAUUGAGGCCAUAAAGUUGGGCUCAACCACGGUCAGGUUGAAGACUAAGGAUGUUGUUGUUGUCCGGGCCGGUGAGGAACGUGUGACCACAUCGCUGCUGGGCUGGACUAACGACACCAACUUCAUCCGCUGCAAAUGGAGAUGAAUUAGAGAGAAUCCAUGGUCGUGCUUUCCUCCUGGCAUUAUACUCUAUUUACUCAUCAACCCCCUGUUUGAGCCAUUACGGGAUGGGAGAGAGUACAUAAACCAGUACACCAUUCGUGACCACAUCUUGCCGUCUUCACCACAACAAGGACCGGUACUUACGCAUGACACAACGUGGUGCUACGUUGGCGGGCUUGCGGCCAUGUUCCUCGACCCUUGCAUUACCGUAUCUGUCGCAUCGCGUUCUUGCCGUCUGCACUCAACCUUUGCAUUACCGUAUGCUCAGCUAGGCAUUGGCGGGCUGGCGGCCGGCCAUGGUAUCUCUAUAUGUCAUCAUCUUUUCUGAUAUCAUCAUGAAAUAUUCGGGCAACUCCCAAAUGUGAUUAACGAUAGAAGAACAAAGAACUGAAGUACUGAACUAUGUUCUCAAACUUGGAGAAGAAAACAGCAAAUCUUCGUCAGUGCUGGACUAGAGGUUUGCAUAAAGAUCAUUUAAAACUGACUGCAAAGAGUUCACAAAAAAUCUCUAGAAUUUUUUGGUUUCCUUUUUUGGACUCAAGUUUUGGGUGCAAACCUUUUCGUGGUUGCAUCAUGAAAGUUGGGACUUGGCAGUAAGAAACAGAAGAAUUCAUCACGACAUCACCUAGCUUAGCAUGUGCACAUGAUUUCUUUUUCUUGGUCCUUCCGUAUGGUAACACAUCCAUCCACAUGUAGUUUGAGGUUUUUUUGUGUCAAGCAAGUAGUUUGAAUGUACAAUAUGGAUUAGCACGAACAGAAUGUGGGUUGCUCUGCUCCAAUUUUUGCAGCCUUAUAUGUCACUUAAUGUUUCUGGUUUUCCAUUUUUUCAUACACUUAAUGGAAACUUGGGGUUAGCAGGAAUUGAAAAGGCUAACAUUUAUGUAUUAGUUAGUAAACAAAAUUAGUUAGCAUUACUAUGUCUUCCGAUCAGUAUUGAUCUUUUAUUGUUCUUUUCCUAUUUUGGUUAUGAUAAAAUCUGGUUGACAUAUUCAUUUUUUUCUGAAUCGAGUGACUCUACGGUGCAGAUCUGGUGAACACUAGAUUUCACACAAGUCUAGAAGAACAAGGUACAAAAUGGACAUGUAAGUUCCUCACGGCAGUAAAGCGGGUGCAAAAUUUGGCUCCCUAAUAGUUUUCCAAGAAAACAUGAAAUGUUCGAAGUGUAUACCAUGUUUCGAAACUUAUGGUCCCAACAAUCGUUUCAUGGUUUCAAGUCUUAGGUCUGCAAGUGUUACUGUAAGUGGUUGUGGUUUUUUGUAGAUUUUCUUUUCUCUACGUUGCCAGUAUGAGUAAUCAAAACGGGUGUGUUUUUUUAUGCUUGCAUUGAAAAUCACAGGUCCAUACAUUUGGAUAGAUUGAGA